GCGGCGGAUGCGGUGGCGGUGGCGGCGGCGGAGGCUGCUAAAGUUGGCGCGUUGAUUUAUUCGGCCUUGUGGCUGCAUGCGUGCACGGCGUAUUAAUGGCUGCAUGCAUGCAUGCAUGCGUGUUCAUCUUAGUUAAGUCAGUCUAGUGGUGUUAAUUUCAGGAUUAGCUGCGGAUUUCAGUCAUGUGUUACGUCCAUGGUGUUCUUUUAUCGUACAACCAUUGUGUUCGUUAGCUGCGGAUUCGUGUUUCGAUUAGUUAGUUGUCAUCCUACAUUCCAUAGUGGUGUCAUUUGGUCUUGGUUUUCUUAUGUCGUUGCCUUGAUCGGUACCAAAUUUAAUCCUACAAAUGUCCUCGUUCUUAUGAAAAUUUCGGUUUCCUGGAUUGUACUUACCCAACACUUUGUUUCAUUUGAUUUGAAUCUGCUAUGAUCUAAUCUUUAUUCUCC
rnacentral:lncRNA from 1 species